UACGUAGGGCGCAAGCGUUGUCCGGAAUUAUUGGGCGUAAAGAGCUCGUAGGCGGCCUGUUGCGUCCGCUGUGAAAUCCCGGGGCUCAACCCCGGGCCUGCAGUGGAUACGGGCUGGCUAGAGGCAGGCAGGGGAGAACGGAAUUCCUGGUGUAGCGGUGAAAUGCGCAGAUAUCAGGAGGAACACCGGUGGCGAAGGCGGUUCUCUGGGCAGUUACUGACACUGAUGCGCGACAGCGUGGGGAGCAAACAGG
rnacentral:rRNA from 1 species